UCCUUGGUGGUCCAGUGGUUAGGACUCUGCACUUUCACUGUCAAGGGCCUGGGUUCAAUCCCCAGUCAGGGAA